UACGUAGGGUGCAAGCGUUAAUCGGAAUUACUGGGCGUAAAGCGUGCGCAGGCGGUGAUGUAAGACAGAUGUGAAAUCCCCGGGCUCAACCUGGGAACUGCAUUUGUGACUGCAUAGCUAGAGUGCGGCAGAGGGAGAUGGAAUUCCGCGUGUAGCAGUGAAAUGCGUAGAUAUGCGGAGGAACACCGAUGGCGAAGGCAAUCUCCUGGGCCUGCACUGACGCUCAUGCACGAAAGCGUGGGGAGCAAACAGG
rnacentral:rRNA from 1 species